GCUCCAAUAGGAUAUAUCAAAGUUGUUGCAGUUGAAAAGCUCGUAGUCGUAUUUCUGGUGGGUUGAUGUCCUAGCUUGGGCUUUGCGAAAGUAGAGUCUAGCUCUGGGCCGCUAUCAUUGUGGGCUAAAGUUGAGUUUGUGUGCGCAAGCAUGUAUUCUCAGCUCCACUCCGUCACUGAGAGCAAAUUGGAGUGCUCAAA
rnacentral:rRNA from 1 species